rnacentral:rRNA from 1 species
GACGAACGCUGGCGGCGUGCCUAAUACAUGCAAGUCGAACGAGAGCGACCGGUGCUUGCACUGGUCAAUCUAGUGGCGAACGGGUGAGUAACACGUGGGUAACCUGCCCAUCAGAGGGGGAUAACAUCCGGAAACGGAUGCUAAAACCGCAUAGGUCUUCGAACCGCAUGGUUUGAAGAGGAAAAGAGGCGCAAGCUUCUGCUGAUGGAUGGACCCGCGGUGCAUUAGCUAGUUGGUGAGGUAACGGCUCACCAAGGCCGUGAUGCAUAGCCGACCUGAGAGGGUGAUCGGCCACAUUGGGACUGAGACACGGCCCAAACUCCUACGGGAGGCAGCAGUAGGGAAUCUUCCGCAAUGGGCGAAAGUCUGACGGAGCAACGCCGCGUGAGUGAAGAAGGUUUUCGGAUCGUAAAACUCUGUUGUUAGAGAAGAACAAGUGCUAGAAUAACUGUUAGCGCCUUGACGGUAUCUAACCAGAAAGCCACGGCUAACUACGUG